GGAGGAAAAUGAAGAAGAUGAAGACUUUAAGAAAACCAAUGGAAGAGGCAGAAAAUGAUGACGAACCGGAUUAAUUAAGAGGAGGAGGUAUUUAAGAUUGUACGAAAGUCAAAAGGUUGACCAUUCCUCUAGUUCGCUGCGAUGAAGUAAUCAAAACAACAGAACAGCCCAAAACUUUGACAUCAAUGAUCAGUCUAAACCCUAUGCCUGAUCCUAAUAAUCAGCCUUGCCGGACUAAGGAACACAAGAAAAAAGUACCAAGCAAAAGACCUAGGAAGGGCCCAAGAAAACAAGACAUCUAGGAAAAGAAUGACGAAGGAAUGUCCUUUCUGUUACAUAGAGGUGGUGCAUAUACCAAAGCACCUCACUAUCGCUCAUGGCUACAACCACCAAGCAGCUAAGGCCAAAGUCAAAGCCUCCCACAGCAAGUAAGCAAAUCAUUAUGAUUUAAAUGGCAAAAUCCAUAUACUAACGUUGGUUUUUAGAUGUUAACCUUUCUGCAUUUCCCUAAUAUGAUUAUUCUGUCUAUAAAAAUUGAAACUCUGCCCAAUUAGAGUAUGUAAAGCGAUAGAUAAUAUGCUAGAUACCCACUUGAUAUUUUUCCACCAGAAAAAAAGAGAUACAUUACACCAGCUGGUGAUGUCGGCAAA